rnacentral:tRNA from 1 species
GCCGCGGUAGCUCAGCCUGGUUAGAGCGCCGGCUUGGUAAGCCGGAGGUCGCGGGUUCGAAUGUUUACAGAGUAUCCCGCCCGCGGCU